GAGCGCAAAACCCGUAAGUUUAAGUUGCCCAAUCAUUAAAGUUGGAGCAAUUUUAAGUUGGACUGGCCGGUGACCAAAACCGGGAGGAAGGUGGGGAUGACNUUCAAAUCAUCAUGCCCCUUAUGAUUUGGGCUAACACACGUGCUAACAAUGGACCAAUACCAAAGGGCAGCUAAACCGACGGGGUCCAAGNCAAAUCCCAUAAAGUUGUUCUCCAGUUCGGAUUGUAGUCUGCAACUCGACUACAUGAAGCUGGAAUCGCUAGUAAUCGUAGAUCAGCAUGCUACGGUGAAUACGUUCCCGGGUCUUGUACACACCGCCCGUGAAUCACUAGUGAAUUACGC
rnacentral:rRNA from 1 species